AGCUUCCUUUUCUCUGCAUCCUUGACAACAUCUGUUAUUUUUUGACUUUUUAAUAAUAGCCAUUCUGAAGGGUAGCAGAUACCAUCUGAAUCUCAUUUUAAUUUGUAUUUCCCUGAUGAUUAGUAAUGUUGAGGUUUCUUCAUAAAUUUGCUGGCCACUUGUUGGUCUUCGUUUGUAAAGUGCCUGUUUAUGUACAUGUUGUGUUCAUGUUAUGUACAUGUUUAUGUACAUGUUAUAUUCUGUUUUUAAUGGGGUUAUUUGGUUUCUUCUUCUUGAUUUGUUUAAAUUCCUUAUAGAUUCCAGAUAUUAGUCCUUUGUCACACUCAUAUUUUGCAAAUAUUAUCUCUCAUUCUCCAAGUUGACUGUUCACUCUCUUGAGAGUUUCUUUUGCUGUGCAGAAGCUACUUCAUUUCAUAGUUGCAUUUGUCUUUUUUUGUUUUUCUUGCAUUUGCUUUUGAGGUCUUAGUUAUAAUUUCUUUGCCUAUGCCAAUGUCCAGAAGAGUUUUUCAUAGGCCUUCUUCUAGAAUUUUUAUAGUUUCAGGUCUCACAUUUAUGUAUUUAAUCCAUUUUGAGUUAAUUUUUGUACACGUCAAGAGGUAGAGGUUCAGUUUCAUUUUUCUGCAUAUGCCUAGCCAGAUUUCCCAGCACUAUUUAUUGAAUAGAGUGUCCCUUCCCCAUUGUUCAUUUUACAACUAACUUUUUCAAAGAUUAGUUAGUUGUAGGUGUAUGGCUUUACUUCUUGGUUUUCUAUUCUGUUCCAUUCAUUUGUUUCUCUAUUUUUGUACCAGUACCAUACUGUUUUGGAUACUACAGCCUUGUAGUACAGUUUGGAGUCAGCUAUUGUAAUGCCUCCAGCUUUGUUCUUUUCUCUUAUAAUCACUGUAGCUAUUCAGGAUUUUUUUAGUUCCAUAUGAAUUUUUGAAUAGUUUUUUCUAAUUCUGUGAAAAAUUAUGUUGGCAAUUUUAUAGAAUUACAUUGAAUCUGUAGAUUGCUUUGGGCUAUAUAGACAUUUUAAUGAUAUUGAUUAUUCCUGUCUAUAAGCAUGGAACGUUUUUCUCUUUGUGUCAUCUGUGAUUUAUUUCAUCAGUGUUUUGUAGUUCUCCUUGUAGAGGUCUUUCAUCUCCUUCAUUAAAUUAUGUCUUGGUAUGUUACUAUUUUGUGACUAUUGUAAAUGGGAUUGAGUUCUUGAUUUCGUUCUCAGCUUGAGUGUUGAUGUACAGAAAUGUGACUGAUUUUUGUGCAUUAAUUUUGUAUCCUGAAACUUUGCUGAAAUCCUUUACCAAAUUGAAGACUCUUUUGUAGAAAUCUUUAGGAUUUUUCUUGCUAUAGGAUUUUGCCAUCAGUGAACAGGAUAUCUUGAAUUCUUCUUUUCUCCUUUUGAUUCCUUUUAUUUCUUUCUCUUGUCUGAUUGCUCUGAGUGGCACUUUCAGUACUGUGUUGAAUAGGAGUAGUAAGAGUGCUUGUCUUGUACUAGUUCUUAGGGGAAAUACUUUCAACUUUUCCUGAUUCAGUAUGAUGUUGGCUGUUAUUUGUCAUAUAUGGCUCUUAUUAAUUUGAAGUAUGUUUCUUUGAUGCCUAGUUUGUUGAGGGCUUUUAUCAUAAAGUGAUGUUUGGUUUUAUCAAAUGUUUUUUCUGCAUCUAUUUAGAUGACCAUAUGGUUUUGGUUUUAUUUUUGUUUAUGUUGUGAAUCACAUUUAUCAAUUUGCACAUGUUGAACCAUCUUCACAUCCCUAGAAUAAAACUCACUUGAUCAUGAUAGAUUAUCUUUUUGAUGUGCUAUUAAAUUUAGUUUGCAGGUAUUUUAUUGUCAAUUUUUGUGUCUAUAUUGAUCAGGGAUAUUAGCCUGUAGUUUUCUUUUUUGUUGUGUCCUUGCCAGAUUUUGAUAUAAGAAUAAAACUAGUUUUGUGAAAUGUGUUAGGAAGGAAUCCCUUCUCCUAAAUUUUUUGCAAUAGUGCGGUAAGAUUGAUACCAACUCUUUUUUGUGCUUUUGGUAAAUUUGGCUUUGAUUUCAUCUAGUUCAGGGCUUUUUUGGUUGGUAGGUUUUUUAUUACUGAUUCAAUUUCAUAAAUCAUUAUUGGUCUGUUUAGGAUUUCAGUUUCUUCCUAGUUCACGUUUUGAAGGUGGUGUGUUUUCAGGAACUUAUCCACUUCCUCUAGGUUUUCUAGUGUAUGUGCAUAGAGAUAUUUAUAGUCUCUGAGAAUCUUUUGUAUUUCUGUUUUAUCAGUUAUAAUGUCAUCUUUAUUAUUUCUGACUAUACUUAUUUGAACCUUCUCUCUUUCUCUCUUUUUUUUUUUUUUUUUUUUUUUUUUUUUUGGGUAAUCUAGCUAGUGGGCUUCUAAUCUGGUCAGGUGGUGAUAAAUUCCCUUAGCAUUUGCUUGACUGAGAAAGACCUUAUUUCUUCUUUAUUUAGGAAGCUUAGUUUGGCCAGAUAUAAAAUUCUUGGCUGAUAUUUUUUUUUCUUUAAGAAGGAUAAAAAUAGGCUCCCAAUUUUGUCUGGCUUUUAAGGUUUCUGUUGCAAAGUUUACUACUAAUCUGAUAGGAUUUCCUUUAUAAAUAAUUUGUUCUUUUUCUGUAGAUGCCCUUAAGAUUUUUUUUUAUCAUUGACUUUGGAUAGUCUGAUGACCAUAUGCCUUUGUGAUGCUUAUCUCAUUUAGUAUCUCACAAGUGUUCUCUGAAUUUCUUGAAUCUGGAUAUCCACCUCUCUAGCAAGAUUAGGGAAUUUUUUCUGGAUUAUUCUCCUAAAUAUAUUUUUCACAUUGCUUAUUUUUUCUUAUUCUCUUUCAAUAAUGCCUAUAAGUCAUAGGUACAGUCACUUUACAUAAUCCCAUAUUUCUUGAAGUCUAUAUUCAUUUUUUAAAAUUCUUUUUUAUUUAUUUUGGUCUGACUGGCUUUAUUCAAAAGACCACUCUUCAAUCUCUAAAAUUCUUUCUUCUGCUUGGUCUAGUCUAUUGUUAAAGCUUCCAACUAUAUUUUGAAAUUCACUUAGUUAAUUUGUCAAUUCCAGAAGUUCUAUUAUUUUAAUAUAGCUAUUCCAUCUUUCAUAUCCUAAAUUGUUUUUCUGUUUUUGUAUGUGCUGGUUUUCAACUUUCUCUUUUAUCUUAUUGAGUUUCCUGGCAGUCCAUAUUUUGAUUUAUUUAUCUGUCAUUUCAGACUUUUUAUUUUGAUUAAGAGUCAUUACUAGAGAGCUAGUAUAAUCCUUUGGAGGUAUCACUAUACUCUGUUUUUUGCACUGCUGGAAUUCUUGCACUAAUUCCAUCUCAUCUGAAGGAGCUGUUCCUUCUUAUUUUUGAAUCUGCUAUUGUUUGAAUGGGACUUUUAUAUUUUUAAAUUCUUUUUUUCCCAUGAGGGUAUGACUGUAGUUUAUGUUUUGUAUGAUUGUUUAACUUUAUUUCUAGGUUGUUUUAGAAGGCCAAGUAUUUGUAUGGGUUCCUUGGUUGGGGUUUUUGUUUGUUUGUUUGGUGGUUUUCGUUGAUACUACUUGUUUCGCAGUAGAUUGGAUGCAUGAACCAACAAUUCUCUCCUGCAGGGCUGAGAAUGUGCAGGUAUCAGGAUGCUUAUCUACUGCACUAGCACUAUGCACUUCUGGAAGCAAGUUUUUUAUUUGGUUGUGCAGUUCAAGCUUCAGUUCAGUAGGUGGCAGUUAAUUGUAAGAGCUUGAUUGCCCUCAGGUAGGUGAUGAUGAGUAGAAGCACCUGCUCUCAUGUGGCCAGUGGUGGUGGGAGAUUGUGUUGGAGUGUGCUAAGGUAUUCUGGGCUGGACUUGGGGAAUGCAACACCUCCUCAUUGUGGGAAGACAAUAAUUCAAUCCACUUCCCUAUCACACCCCUGUCACAGGGCUCAGGACUUUCAGUUUAUACAGACUUCGUCCUGUGUGGCUGUGGACUACAAAUAUGCCCCUCUAGCAGCUUUCACCUAACUGGGCUCAGGGCAGAGCCUUUUCUCAUAGUCCAGAACUGACUACUCUGGCUUGUCUGCCUCUGUUGCUGGGAUGCUGUUACUCUGUGUAGGAAGCAGGAAUUGAGCACUAUCCUUCAUGCAAGAACUAGCUGCACAAACUCACUUUCAACUGGGAUAGAACUGCCACAGGAAGGGCUGGAAUGGCUUUCUCCAAGUGCAUACAUCCACCCCCAGUGAGAAGAGUCUCUGCUGUGUUUGCAACAGUGAACAAGGAAAGCAUGGAGAUGACCCCGUCUCCUUGCCCUUGACAUUCCUACAUUGAUUGUCAAGGUGUUGAAAUUUCCACCAUGUAGUUUUUUCUCCACACUCACAGAGAGGCUCACGGUAAACCUCCUAAAGCAUCUUAUUAAAAGAGAAACGCUACAGCCAUAGUCACAGAUGAGCUCUGGUGACUAAAAUCCCACCUACCACUACUUGACUGUUGCGGUCCCUGAAGCCUACAAAAUCGCAGAAUGAUUGCUGGUUCUCAAACCUCUAGGUUACUUUAUGAUUGGGAAUUUUACAUAUAUCCAUUGCCUGAAAUGCCCUUAGCAUCUAUUACCCUUUGAGACUUAGCUUCAAUAUCAAGUAAUGAAGCCUUUCUUAAGUACCUAGAGAAAAUCAGUUUUCCGGUCUUUCAUGCUACCUUUGUACACACAGCUUUCUGUUGUUACCUUUUCAAAUCAAUCAUUUCACCAUUAUUUCUCUAUGCAUUCAUUCAUUAUUUCAACAAAUAUUUAUCGGGUGUUUAAUAUGUUUAUAGCCAUGUGCUAAGCACUGAGGUUAUACUUUGUCGUGACUCCAUGGUUAAACUCCACAGGGACAAGAUCCACACAAAUAUUCUGUGUGAAGGACACAUAAAUAGUUUGGGGGUACAUCAUGCCUAUGACUGAUAUGAAGAAGGUGUAAACAAAUGUAUAUUGAAUUAAAGAAUACCUUAAAUAUUUGUUUGUAAGAGAUAUAGUUUUAGGAUUUGUUACAAUAGUUAGAAAAGGGUUUCAUGAAUAUGGAAUGAAAGCUUAGACUGCAACUGUUUUACAAAGCGCUUUUAAAAGUAACUACUAAAAUAAUCUAGUAACACUUUUAGAGUCAUUUAGAAAAGAAUAAAAUAAUCUUAGCCUAGCUAACAGGAUGUUCCAAUAAAACUAUUGUGAAGUGGUAGGACUCUUGAUUAUGGUGAGAAUGGGUCAGAAUGGAUGAAUCAACACAUUUGUGUAAAGAAUAAUAUCUAGAAAUGAUGACAAUGUAUAUUUGAAAGAAAAGAGUAUUAAAAAUGUCUUUAAAUUUUCCAAUUUGUUGUACUCAUAGGAAAAUAGGAGGUGAAAAUGAAAUACUUAGAGAUGGUGUCUUAAUUUAUUUCAAGAAUUUGAGGUAAAAAGGAACUGCUCUGCCCUGUUAAUAUGUGAGAUGAGCAAUUUAGGAGGGAGGUCAGACUGGAAAAGUGAAUUUACUGAACACCAUGAUAGUCAUGUUGUUUAAUGACUUAAGAAUAGACAGUAAAAGAGGUUCUCCUAUCAUAGCCCUACAUCCUCUGGAAAUACAUGCUACAUUAAAAUUUAUAUUUCUAUUUCCAUAUGCUUGGUAUGACUAAUGGCAGAAACUGUGAAGAAUCCUAGGAGAAAAAUGGUCUGCAUUUGCUUCAGACUUAUUGCAAAGUGUAUGUAUGAAGGAAAACAUUACUUCUAAUUCUACCAGACCAUCACCUGCAUGAGUCCCUGUGAUGCUUCCCAAAUCCAUCCAAAUGCUUAACUGAAGCUUGAAUUUAUUAUUUUCAAGUUCGAUGUAAAAGUUCUUCUUUUUAAACUUGACACUGUAUACUGUGGCUUAAAUAUUUAAGCAAGGCUCUUUCGAAGAUUGAGGAAGAAACACUCACACAUCAAAAGUAUCUAAUGUUUAAUUCAGCGAGGUAAGCUUUCUCAAACUCUGAAGCUUAUGUGAAGCUGUUUGGAAUUUUUUCAAAGGUCUUUUAUCUCUAAAUCAAAACAGAAUUUUUUUUAAAAAAAUUAUAAUAAUUCUUCAAAACAGAAAUAACUUCUGUCAGAGUUCUUUGGUUUCUACCUAAAAGAAACAGUUACGUGGCAAUUGUUUAUUUAUUUCUACAUGAACCCAACAUGUUCAAAUUCUAAAAGAUUUAGACAAGCUUGCUUCAGUCAUACAUAAAGAUUUUGAAAACUUAUUAUUCAAGCCAACUAAGAUUCUUGCUAGAAAACUCAAACAAAGAACAAUAAUUGGUUUGAAAACUGCAGAAUAUACUUUGUAGAUUAUGACUCUUCAUUGAUAAACAGAUAAGUAAACACCCACAAAUCAAUAUGUAAACAAUAGAACUGGCUAUUAAGUUUUUGCUAAAAGAUCUUCCUUGAGAGAGUUUAUAGAAUUUGCUAAUUUUUUCUUUUUUGUCUUAUUUAAUGUUAGUUAUCAAAGCCAAGUCUUCCCAGACCCUUACUAAUUAAUCUCAACAAUUUGUUUUUGAAAUUUUGAAAACAUAGAAAUAUUAGGAGAAUCUCCACUGGAGUGAUUCAAGAGAGUUCUAAAACAUGGAGACUGACAAAAACAUUCAGAUAGAAAUCUGCAGUUAAUAGUAAUAAAAUGACGGCAGUCACUGUGAUGAUAUGAUAAUUGUGAUGAUUAGGCUGCUGGUUUGGAAUCCUGGAUAAAUCUCUUAAACUAGCUUUAUGGCUUUUAGCAAGUUAUGUAACCUUUGAAAUAUUCACCUGGUUUUUAAAACCACAUUCUGUGGAUGUAAGAUCUAAAUAAGAUAACCCAUAUAAAUAAUGUAGUAUGUCUCGCACAUACUAAGCGCAUGCUAAGACUUUCCCCAUGCUUUCUUUUUUUUGGCUUCUUUUAUUAUUAUUAUUAUUAUUAUACUUUAAAUUCUAGGGUACACUUGCACAACAUCCAUGUUUUAAGUCUCCACCCACUUGUCCUUGAAAAUUCUAAUCUCUUUUGUUUACCAAGGCCAGUGAUAAUGAAGUCUUAUGAUAAAACCUGUUCCUAUAACAUUCCUUCUAGUCAUUACACAUUUUAAUCUCUCGUUUAUUAAGUUAGGUGCCUGUAAUAAUAACAUUUUCUAGAAUAUUUUUUACUGCUUUUAGCAUGGCUAACUUUUUUCACCUUUCCUUCAGUAAAUGCUGCCUCAUUUUAAGGUUUAUUCUGAACACCCA
rnacentral:lncRNA from 10 species